GUACGAGAGGACCGGAGUGGACGCAUCACUGGUGUUCGGGUUGUCAUGCCAAUGGCACUGCCCGGUAGCUAAAUGCGGAAGAGAUAAGUGCUGAAAGCAUCUAAGCACGAAACUUGCCCCGAGAUGAGUUCUCCCUGACUCCUUGAGAGUCCUGAAGGAACGUUGAAGACGACGACGUUGAUAGGCCGGGUGUGUAAGCGCAGCGAUGCGUUGAGCUAACCGGUACUAAUGAACCGUGAGGCUUAACCUUACAACGCCGAAGCUGUU
rnacentral:rRNA from 1 species